rnacentral:rRNA from 1 species
AGUGAACGCUGGCGGUAUGCCUAACACAUGCAAGUCGAACGGCAGCACAGUAAGAGCUUGCUCUUACGGUUGGCGAGUGGCGGACGGGUGAGGCGUACAUCGGCAUCUACUUUUUCGUGGGGGAUAACGUAGGGAAACAUACGCUAAUACCGCAUACUUCCUACGGCUGAAAGCAGGGGAGAUUCGCGCCUUGCGCGAUUGAAUGAGACGAUGUCGGGUUAGCUAGUUGGGGGGGUAAAGGCCCACCAAAGCGACGCUACGUAGCUGGUCUGAGAGGAUGAUCAGGCAAACUGGAACUGAGACACGGGCCAGACUCCUAAGGGAGGGAGGAGUGGGGAAUAUUGGACAAUGGGGGGAAGCCUGAUCCAGGCAUACCGGGUGGGUGAAGAAGGCCUUCGGGUUGGAAAGCCCUUGUGUUGGGAAAGAAAAGCAGCAGGUUAAUACCCCGCUGUUCUGACGGGACCCAAAGAAUAAGCACCGGCUAACUUCGUG